rnacentral:misc_RNA from 1 species
GGAAGUAAAAGUCGUAACUAGGUCUCCGUUGGUGAACCAGCGGAGGGAUCAUUACCGAGUUUACAACUCCCAAACCCAAUGUGAACCAUACCAAACUGUUGCCUCGGCGGGGUCACGCCCCGGGUGCGUCGCAGCCCCGGAACCAGGCGCCCGCCGGAGGGACCAACCAAACUCUUUAUGUAGUCCCCUCGCGGACGUUAUUUCUUACAGCUCUGAGCAAAAAUUCAAAUGAAUCAAAACUUUCAACAACGGAUCUCUUGGUUCUG